UACGUAGGGUGCAAGCGUUGUCCGGAAUUAUUGGGCGUAAAGAGCUCGUAGGCGGUCUGUCGCGUCGGUCGUGAAAACUUGGGGCUUAACCCUGAGCUUGCGGUCGAUACGGGCAUGACUGGAGUUCGGUAGGGGAGACUGGAAUUCCUGGUGUAGCGGUGAAAUGCGCAGAUAUCAGGAGGAACACCAAUGGCGAAGGCAGCUCGCUGGGACGGUACUGACGCUGAGACGCGAAAGCGUGGGGAGCAAACAGG
rnacentral:rRNA from 1 species